rnacentral:rRNA from 1 species
AUUGAACGCUGGCGGCAGGCUUAACACAUGCAAGUCGAGCGGAGAUGAGGUGCUUGCACCUUAUCUUAGCGGCGGACGGGUGAGUAAUGCUUAGGAAUCUGCCUAUUAGUGGGGGACAACACUCCGAAAGGAAUGCUAAUACCGCAUACGCCCUACGGGGGAAAGCAGGGGAUCUUCGGACCUUGCGCUAAUAGAUGAGCCUAAGUCGGAUUAGCUAGUUGGUGGGGUAAAGGCCUACCAAGGCGACGAUCUGUAGCGGGUCUGAGAGGAUGAUCCGCCACACUGGGACUGAGACACGGCCCAGACUCCUACGGGAGGCAGCAGUGGGGAAUAUUGGACAAUGGGCGGAAGCCUGGUCCAGCCAUGCCGCGUGUGUGAAGAAGGCCUUUUGGUUGUAAAGCACUUUAAGCGAGGAGGAGGCUACCUGGAUUAAUACUCUAGGAUAGUGGACGUUACUCGCAGAAUAAGCACCGGCUAACUCUGUGCCAGCAGCCGCCGUAAAAC